rnacentral:tRNA from 1 species
GGUAGUAGAGCUCAGUGGCAGAAUGUGUGCUUAGCAUGCACGAGGUCCUGGGCUCAAGCCCCUGUACCUCCA